AACCUGACUGCAUUGGUCUUACCCCUCUGAUUAUACAGUGCCAUUAGACCUGUGAGAGGGGCUGUGACAGUGGAACACGAAUGAAGACAGGAAAAGUCUGUAGAGGACUGAUGGUUGUGUUCACCAUUCAAAUUGCAAGAAAACCAAUAAGAGCAGCAAUACUAAACUGAUACACAAAGGAUCCCCGUACUUCAUCAAAAUAUCAAUGUUGUCCAUGACACACAAAGAACCCAGCUGUAGUUUAAUUCAGCAUCACAGUCCCAACAUGUUUUAAAACAUGUUCCAGCUUUUGGUCCCAGGAUUAUUCAACCUAGCUCAUAAAAGAAAACAUUAUUGCAUUUCUAAGUAUUUGCUCCUAGAAUUGGCAAGUUUAGUCGAGAAAAGCUGGAAUGCCUUUAAAACAACACACUGUCAUCUUUCAAUCAGUCCUUAGCUGAAGUUAAAAUCCCACUCAUUCUGCAUGAUCCAGGUAAAGAUCUUCUUCCUUAAGGCACUUUACUGCUUCAGGCCUCUGUGGUUUGCUUCUUUCCCUAAAAAUCCUUAAAUGUUUGGCACCCAUAAACAUUAACUUGAGUUUUCAGCAUUCAAUUCACUCAUUCAUCCAACACUAUUUGAUUGUCUGCUGGGUGCCAGUCAUGGGGCUAAGCUCUGCAGGUACAAGGAUGAAUAGGACUCUGACCACAUUCUCAGUA